CUUGAAAUACCACCCUUUAAUGUUUGAUGUUCUAACGUGGGCCCCUUACCGGGGUUGCGGACAGUGUCUGGUGGGUAGUUUGACUGGGGCGGUCUCCUCCUAAAGAGUAACGGAGGAGCACGAAGGUUGGCUAAUCCUGGUCGGACAUCAGGAGGUUAGUGCAAUGGCAUAAGCCAGCUUGACUGCGAGCGUGACGGCGCGAGCAGGUGCGAAAGCAGGUCAUAGUGAUCCGGUGGUUCUGAAUGGAAGGGCCAUCGCUCAACGGAUAAAAGGUACUCCGGGGAUAACAGGCUGAUACCGCCCAAGAGUUCAUAUCGACGGCGGUGUUUGGCACCUCGAUGUCGGCUCAUCACAUCCUGGGGCUGAAGUAGGUCCCAAGGGUAUGGCUGUUCGCCAUUUAAAGUGGUACGCGAGCUGGGUUUAGAACGUCGUGAGACAGUUCGGUCCCUAUCUGCCGUGGGCGCUGGAGAACUGAGGGGGGCUGCUCCUAGUACGAGAGGACCGGAGUGGACGCAUCACUGGUGUUCGGGUUGUCAUGCCAAUGGCACUGCCCGGUAGCUAAAUGCGGAAGAGAUAAGUGCUGAAAGCAUCUAAGCACGAAACUUGCCCCGAGAUGAGUUCUCCCUGACUCCUUGAGAGUCCUGAAGGAACGUUGAAGACGACGACGUUGAUAGGCCGGGUGUGUAAGCGCAGCGAUGCGUUGAGCUAACCGGUACUAAUGAACCGUGAGGCUUAACCUUACAACGCCGAAG
rnacentral:rRNA from 1 species